rnacentral:lncRNA from 1 species
GGUAAAAAAAUCUAGUUCGACAAAAGAACUACUCAGUACAGUCAAGCGAACAUCUUCAGCCCAAAGCGACUUUACUUUUUUGUGAUAUGGGCUUCAACUUCUCUCGAAGAGCACUGCAUGGUAAUGAGAUGCAAUAUUUUUACAAUGAAGUAAUGAAGUGUAGUUUCCAAGAACAAGAAAAUUGAUAAACAUGAUGAAAUGCAGUUUUUACAAUGAAGUAAUGAAGUGUAGUUUCCAACAACAAGAAAAUUGAUAAACGAGGCAAUUGGGUGGAUACUGCUCUUUCAGGUUGUCGUCGCCGCCUUCGAACCUACAUGCGCCACUGCAAAGGAAAUAUCCAGUCGUUCAGCACUGCAAGCAUCUUCUUUCCCUGUUGACGUUCGAAGUAGGGG